GGAUAGUUCAGUUGGUAGAGCAUGAGACUCUUAAUCUCAGAGUUGUGCGUUCAAGCCCAAUAUUAGGCA